rnacentral:rRNA from 1 species
AUGCCGCACUCGAGCGGCGGUUCCAAAAGGUUCAUGUUAAGGAACCAAGCGUGCAGGCGACCAUCACCAUUCUGCAGGGGCUUAAACAGCGGUACCAAGACCACCAUGUCUUGGAAAUUCAGGAUGCUGCUCUGGUUGCUGCCGCAGAGCUUGCUGGCCGCUAUAUCACUGUUUCCUGACAAGGCAAUUGAUCUGAUCGAUGAGGCAUGCGCUGCCACAAGGAUGCUGGUUGACAGAGAAAGUGAAGCAACUGGCACCAGGACGCAGAGUUACAACAAAAAAGAAGUGACUGCACAAAGUAGAUCCAUAAAAGCAGUGAAGAAAGGAAUUGUUGGUCCGAGUCAGGUCGCACAGGUUGUGAGCCUGUGGACUGGAAUUCCUGUCGCUGCUAUUGAUCGAGAGGAGAAGGAGAAACUACUACACUUAGCAGAAAAAUUGCAUGAGCGAGUUGUUGGCCAGGACGAGGCGGUCAAUUUGGUUGCACAGACGGUCCUACGUUCCAGAGUCGGCCUUGAUCAACCGGGCCAACCAAUAGGUUCUUUCCUCUUUUUGGGCUCGACUGGUGUUGGAAAGACAGAGCUUGCAAAAGCUCUUGCCGAGCAGCUAUUUGACAAUGAAAAUAUGUUGGUUCGCUUUGACAUGUCCGAAUAUGGUACGAAGGGAUCUGUGUUGCGCCUCAUUGGAGCACCUCCAAGCUAUUAUGGUUAUGACGAUGGAGGACAACUGACAGAAAAAGUCAAGAGUCACCCGUACAGUGUCAUCCUGUUUGAUGAGGUGGAGAAGGCGCAUCGCGAGGUGUACAAUGUUUUUCUUCAACUCCUUGAUGAUGGUUUGUUGACCGAUGGCAAAGGCCGAACAGUAGAUUUCAAAAACACCAUCAUCAUUAUGACCUCAAAUCUUGGGUCAAAGCACCUUGCAGCAGGAAUGGUUGGAAAGAACACAAUGCAAGAAACACACAAUCUUGUCAUGAAAGAGGUUCGGAAACGCUUCAAGCCCGAGCUUCUCAACAGGCUGAGUGAGAUUGUGAUAUUUGAGCCGCUUUCACGCGACAAACUGAAGGAGAUUGUGAAAAUCCAGAUGAAGGGCGCUGUUGCCAGAGUAGCCAAGAAGGGCAUCUCUCUACACGCGAGUGAUGCUGCAUUGGACGUUAUCUUGUCAGAGUCAUACGAGCCAAUGUACGGCGCAAGGCCUAUUAAAAGGUGGAUACAGAAGAAUGUGAUGAACACCAUCUGCGAGAUGCUUGUCAAGGGAGAAGCCGGCGAAGGCUCAACAAUCUCCAUUGAUGCCACCGACCACAACAAGGGGCUCAAGUAUGAAGUGGUGAAGAAGGCGGCAGAUCCUUCCGGCAACAUCUUGGUUCCAGCACCAGAGCCUCUUGCUUGCCCUGACGAGGAAAGCGAUGAUUCGGUCAUGGUCACUUCGUAA